AUGUUUUUAAAAAUUAUUUUUUCCAGAAUUAUAUUUUCAGGAUUUUGAUCUUUUGGGGUUGUGAUUUUCAGGUUUGAUCUUCUGGGAUUUCAGCGUUUGGGGUUAUGGUGUUUGGGAUUGUGUUUUUGGGGAUUAUAAUCAGCUCCCCAAUUAAAGACUUUUCCAGACACACAAGGCUGAAGGAGUUCAGUGUCAGUAGCCUGCAGUGCGAGUUCUCUUUAAGGAAGUCUUCCACGCAGAGCGAAGGUGAUAGCAGGUGGGAAUCUGGACCUGUCCAAGGACACAGAGAACAAUGGAAAUGGUGUUGUUGGAAGACAUACUUCCUUAGCCAUCAAAGCUUUGAAGCUUCAAACCAAUAGCUGAAAGUGUUCUAUCCAGUUUGAAUUAUCACUUGAAAUUUUCAAGUCUUCAUGAGCCUCGAAAAUCCUCAUCUCCAAUGAUUCACUCUUAUUAAUAAGAUCACUAAUGAAUUCUUCAACUUUGUUCAUUAAGU
rnacentral:lncRNA from 1 species